AUAGAGAACAAGUCGGGGGAGCCCCCAGGGGUCCAGGCCUGGGGGCUCCCCUCUCCCGAGCACAGAGGGGUCCAGGCCUGGGGGCUCCCCUCUCCUGAGGACAGCGUCCACGCCGAGGACUGACGGGUUGACGUGAGGAGGAGGCAGGCGGGGGUGGCAAGAGCCUGUGGGGUCUUCAGAAGCCAAAGAGGGGCCGGUGUUUCCUGUAGCCAGGUCAGCUGUGGAGCCGAGGGUAGGGGAGUGGUCUUGGGCCCUGGGGACCAAAGCCCAGCGUGAAGCUGCCCCCAGGGAUCCACAACCAUGCAGGGUCUCCCCCGGUCGGCCCACGGGCCCAGGUGCCUGUCUCCUGGGGCUCGGGCUGAGGGGAGCUGAGAGGAGGGAGCAGCAUGGACCGGGGACCGUGGGCGAGACGGCUGCGGCCUCCGAAGGCCACUCUCUGGGUGCAGGAGGCCAGGCCGGGGGACGUUCAUUGAGGCUGGGGGUUGGAGGGGCACUGUGGGGGGCAAGCGAGAGCCUCUGAGAGGGAGGACGCUUGGCCGGGUUGGUGGGGACAGGAGGGAGUCAGGUGGAUGCAGUUGGGGAAGCAGGGAUGGGGGGGACAGGGG
rnacentral:lncRNA from 10 species